GGGGAAUAUUGCACAAUGGGCGCAAGCCUGAUGCAGCGACGCCGCGUGGGGGAUGACGGCCUCCGGGUUGUAAACUCCUUUCGCUAGGGACGAAGCUUUUUGUGACGGUACCUAGAUAAGAAGCACCGGCUAACUACGUGCCAGCAGCCGCGGUAAUACGUAGGGUGCGAGCGUUGUCCGGAAUUACUGGGCGUAAAGGGCUCGUAGGUGGUUUGUCGCGUCGUCUGUGAAAUUCCGGGGCUUAACUCCGGGCGUGCAGGCGAUACGGGCAUAACUUGAGUACUGUAGGGGUAACUGGAAUUCCUGGUGUAGCGGUGAAAUGCGCAGAUAUCAGGAGGAACACCGAUGGCGAAGGCAGGUUACUGGGCAGUUACUGACGCUGAGGAGCGAAAGCAUGGGUAGCGAACAGGAUUAGAUACCCUGGUAGUCCAUGCCGUAAACGGUGGGCGCUAGGUGUGAGGGUCUUUUCACGACUUUCGUGCCGUAGCUAACGCAUUAAGCGCCCCGCCUGGGGAGUACGGCCGCAAGGCUA
rnacentral:rRNA from 1 species